AGAUGUCCUGGGCCGCACGCGCGUUACACUGAUGCACUCAACGAGUCUACCUUGGCCGAGAGGCCUGGGAAAUCUUGUUAACAUGCAUCGUGAUAGGGAUAGAUUAUUGCAAUUAUUAAUCUUGAACGAGGAAUUCCUAGUAAACGCAGAUCAUCAAUCUGCAUUGAUUACGUCCCUGCCCUUUGUACACACCGCCCGUCGCACCUACCGAUUGAAUGGUCCGGUGAAGCCUCGGGAUUGCGAUGAGUUUCCUUCAUUGGGAGUUCGUCGCGAGAACCUGUCUAAACCUUAUCAUUUAGAGGAAGG
rnacentral:rRNA from 1 species